rnacentral:rRNA from 1 species
GAGUUUGAUCCUGGCUCAGGAUGAACGCUGGCGGCGUGCCUAAAGUUUGAUCCUGGCUCAGGAUGAACGCUGGCGGCGUGCCUAAGACAUGCAAGUCGAGCGGGUGUGCCUUUCGGGGUGCACCGAGCGGCGGACGGCUGAGUAACACGUAGGGAACCUGUCCGUGCGUGGGGGAUAGCCCAUCGAAAGGUGGGGUAAGACCGCAUGGGCUCUGGGAGGGCAGGGCUUUCAGAGCAAAGCCUCGGAAGGGGUGCGCGCGGAGGGGCUUGCGGCCCAUCAGCUUGUUGGUGGGGUAAUAGCCUACCAAGGCGAAGACGGGUAGCUGGUCUGAGAGGAUGGCCAGCCAGACCGGGACUGAGAGACGGCCCGGACUCCUACGGGAGGCAGCAGUCGGGGAUCUUGGGCAAUGGGCGAAAGCCUGACCCAGCGACGCCGCGUGGGGGAGGAAGGCCUUCGGGUCGUAAACCCCUGUUGCCGAGGACGAAGGACUGACGGUACUCGGCGAGGAAGCCCCGGCUAACUCCGUGCCAGCAGCCGCGGUAAGACGGAGGGGGCGAGCGUUAUCCGGAUUUACUGGGCGUAAAGGGC